rfam:Colletotrichum incanum strain MAFF 238704 contig304, whole genome shotgun sequence.
GGCCGGUUGGCCCAAUGGCAAGGCGUCUGACUACGAUUCCACAACUUCUCUCUCCCCUCGGACGUUCGAGCGGGAGAGUGGAUGGUUUACAAUCAGUCAUCAGGAGAUUCUGGGUUCGACCCCCAGGCUGGUCA